rnacentral:lncRNA from 1 species
GGCGCUCCCGGCGCGCAACAUGGCUGCGGCCCGGCCCCGGGGCGCCCCUCGCCGCCGGCUUCCCCCAGGGCGGCGGGGACCCGGGUGGGCGCGCCCGCUCGCCGAGAGCGUGGCCGAGUCUGACCCCACUGCGGUCUCUCUGGCUGCAGACGCCUAAGGCGUGAGACCGUUCGCUCCACGGAGGGCCAAGGGACACCAAAAUAACGUCAAAAAAGCUGGGCGCGCGGGCGGCCGCGGUGGGGUGCCCGGGCAGGCCGCUGGGGGCGCGGGCGGGGCCGCUGCGUCGGGGCGCACGUGGGCCGCGCCCCUGCCUUCGGGUUCGGCGGAGAAGGCGCCCCGCGGCCGAGCGCUCGGCGUCGGGGACACGGUGCGGUCUCGUCUGACUUGACUCACCGCGGACUAUGCUAGCUUAACAAAGUGGUUAAUGUGCUAUAAAUACCCAGCAUGAUGGAGGUGAUUUUAGCAUCUUCUUGGAAUGUUGUCUACUCAAACUGUGAGCUCCUUGAAGCCUACAGAUACUCAUCAAGCACCCCGUUCCUGCCAGACACAGCUUCCACGUGGUCUGUUUUUCAGUUCAGCACUGACACAGCAGCUAGAGCUAUGGCUUGGAUCAUGUCACACUCCUGCUCCCAGACCUUCAGGGCUCCAGCUCAAGGCAGGAAGAACUGGGACCUGGAAUGAAGCCAGCUGUGGGGCCAGAGAGGCUGGCUCAGCUGGGCAGAGGACACAGCCAGGCAGCUCCGUGGGACUGAUCAUAGGUGGAAGGUCUUGGAAGGAGUCACCACACUCAGGGAAGAUUCAAGACCUAGAGGUCAGAGGGAGGACUCAGUCCCCAGGGAGGGGCCCGCAAAUGAAUGGAGGGCCCUGCCCAGAAGACCUGACUCCUAGCCUGAGCAGGGCAAGUUGA